CAUUUUCUCAGGGGGCCCAAGGUGACAUUUUCUCAGGGGGCCCAAGGCGACAUUUUCUCAGGGGGCCCAAGGCGACAUUUUCUCAGGGGGCCCAAGGUGACAUUUUCUCAGGGGGCCCAAGGCGACAUUUUCUCAGGGGACCCAAGGUGACAUUUUCUCAGGGGACCCAAGGCGACAUUUUCUCAGGGGGCCCAAGGUGACAUUUUCUCAGGGGGCCCAAGGCGACAUUUUCUCAGGGGGCCCAAGGCGGCAUUUUCUCAGGGGGCCCAAGGCGAAAUUUUCUCAGGGGAUCCAAGGCGGCAUUUUCUCAGGGGGCCCAAGGUGACAUUUUCUCAGGGGGCCCAAGGUGACAUUUUCUCAGGGGGCCCGGAUGUGUAGCUUCUUCCUUACUUGUACUGACGCCAUAUUUCUAUUUGCAAGGGUAGCUGUAAGGGGAUAAUUUCCUGUUGUACCUACUGUAUUUAAGUAGCAGUGUGACACUUACCAGUCCCGUGCAACCAGCAAUUAGGCUGAAGUUAGUUUCUUGUUCAGCAGUUUCUCAUUCACAGAAUCUGUGCCACCUACAC